rnacentral:misc_RNA from 1 species
GAUGAAGAACGCAGCGAAAUGCGAUACUUGGUGUGAAUUGCAGAAUCCCGUGAACCAUCGAGUCUUUGAACGCAAGUUGCGCCCGAAGCCAUUAGGCCGAGGGCACGCCUGCCUGGGUGUCACACGUCGUUGCCCCCCCAUCUACUCCUUCGGGAUUGCGGGGGGCGGAUGAUGGCCUCCCGUGCGCCUCGUCGCGCGGUUGGCAUAAAUGCCAAGUCCUCGGCGACGCACGCCACGACAAUCGGUGGUUGCGAAACCUCGGUUGCCCGUCGUGUGCGGUCGUCGCGCAUCGAGGGCUCGAAAAAAUUGCCGGGCUCCGGCUCGGCUUUCAACGCGACCCCAGGUCAGGCGGGGUUACCCGCUGAAUUUAAGCAUAACAAUAAGCGGAGGA